rnacentral:rRNA from 1 species
UAGGGAAUAUUGGACAAUGGGCGCAAGCCUGAUCCAGCCAUGCCGCGUGAGUGAUGAAGGCCCUAGGGUUGUAAAGCUCUUUCACCGGUGAAGAUAAUGACGGUAACCGGAGAAGAAGCCCCGGCUAACUUCGUGCCAGCAGCCGCGGUAAUACGAAGGGGGCUAGCGUUGUUCGGAUUUACUGGGCGUAAAGCGCACGUAGGCGGACUUUUAAGUCAGGGGUGAAAUCCCGGGGCUCAACCCCGGAACUGCCUUUGAUACUGGAAGUCUUGAGGAUGGUAGGGGUGAGUGGAAUUCCGGGUGUAGAGGUGAAAUUCGUAGAUAUUCGGAGGAACACCAGGGGCGAAGGCGGCUGACAGGACCAUUACUGACGCUGAGGUGCGAAAGCGUGGGGAGGAAACAGG